GGCAGCAUGGCCUAGCGGUAAGGCGGAGGACUACAAAUCCUUUUUCCCCAGUUAAAAUUCGAGUGUUGCCU
rnacentral:tRNA from 1 species